CGCACAUUGCGCCCCCUGGUAUUCCUAGGGGCAUGUCUGUCUGAGCGUCAUGCUCACCUUCAGGCUCAGGACCUUUUGACUCUCGGCUGGAACUGUUUCUUUGUGAACAGAACCAGUCGAAGCCAAAGGUGGACUGAGCCUGGUCAAUGGACCAAAUGGCUCUUUUGCAAGGCCUGUUGGUCUGAAAUCCUGUCAUUGAACUUUAAGGUUUUCGGUUGGGUUUGAAUUUCGGGAGGGCUUCUCCAGAAUGGAUCACAGAAACUAGUUCGGCUUUAGUAAUGUUUUAUACUGCUUCGCCAAAGCUAGAAGCUUCCUGAUCCUGGGAGAUUACAACCCGCCCGAUUGCCAUUCCCAGCACACACCAGAUCUUUGACCUCAGAUCAGACAAGGAUACCCGCUGAACUUAA
rnacentral:misc_RNA from 1 species